UACGUAGGGUGCGAGCGUUAAUCGGAAUUACUGGGCGUGAAGCGUGCGCAGGCGGUGAUGUAAGACAGUUUUGAAAUCCCCGGGCUCAACCUGGGAACUGCAUUUGUGACUGCAUGGCUAGAGUACGGCAGAGGGGGAUGGAAUUCCGCGUGUAGCAGUGAAAUGCGUAGAUAUGCGGAGGAACACCGAUGGCGAAGGCAAUCCCCUGGGCCUGUACUGACGCUCAUGCACGAAAGCGUGGGGAGCAAACAGG
rnacentral:rRNA from 1 species